AUACGUAGGGGGCUAGCGUUAUCCGGAAUUACUGGGCGUAAAGGGUGCGUAGGCGGUCUUGCAAGUCAGAGGUGAAAGGCUACGGCUCAACCGUAGUAAGCCUUUGAAACUGUAGGACUUGAGUGCAGGAGAGGAAAGUGGAAUUCCCAGUGUAGCGGUGAAAUGCGUAGAUAUUGGGAGGAACACCAGUUGCGAAGGCGGCUUUCUGGACUGUAACUGACGCUGAGGCACGAAAGCGUGGGGAGCGAACAGGAUUAGAUACCCUGGUAGUCCACGCCAUAAACGAUGAGUACUAGGUGUCGGGGGUUACCCCCCUCGGUGCCGCAGCUAACGCAUUAAGUACUCCGCCUGGGAAGUACGCUCGCAAGAGUGAA
rnacentral:rRNA from 1 species